GUUGGGAAGUAAACUAAACCCCCUCUACUCCUGCUGCUGCUGUCGUUACCUUUAUGCUCGUCAUCCAAGUACCGUACCCGUAGCUCCUCCUCCCCCGCUUUCACCUCAGAACUGUAACCUCUCGUGGAUGAGGACAAGGCCGAGCAACGCUCGGGCGCCAAACCCCUCAGGCUCAAGCAGUCCAGAAACCAGGAAGAGAAAGAAGAGGAAACGGAGGUGCCAGUAGUUGCCACCGCAGCCAAACCCCCUCGACGCUGAACUAGGCUGAGAGCCGACGUCAUUGCUACUGUCGCCGCCAUGUUGCCUGUUUACAAGCCCGCGCCAAGCCAAGCAGCCCCCCUCCCUUUCCCAUCAGAAUCCACCGCUUUCUCCGCCUCUUCCCGCUAACACUGAACCACGUGAUCGCCCCCGCGUGCAACUGGGGCGCGGGUCCAGUCAGCUAGGACAGCAUGUGAUCCCUAAACGCGCGAAGUCAAAUCUCCUUUCAUCGCCCCCGCCCCAAUAGAGCGACCCAACUGACAGCGUCUCCCCUUCCCCAUACGCUCGCGCUAUAUCAUAGGCAGGAGGUGAUGAACAGCCUGAUUUUUAUUUGUAUGUGGUCCAGCGGAAGAUCCUCACUAAGUGAUACAUUUUGAUGUUCAAUGAGAUACAAGGAACUGUUUCAUCAGGAUCAAGAGAGACCAGGAGAUUCCUGUGAGGAGAGACUUCCCCUAUCAUGGAUUUUGGAAACAACAGAAUCUGAGGAAUAUGGGAGGUAAGAUUGGAUGGUGGGUGUCAUGGCCCCUUCGGAGGACUCAUCAGAUGAGGACGACUCAGGCGUAACAGCCACAGACCCAGAAGGGGGAAAAAAAGGAAACUCCUGAGAACGCAGCUCCUACUCCCCCUCAGCUGGAGAGCGUCCAAGACACAGCUGAAGCUCUUCAGCCAGAAUCAGACAGUGACCAGGAGGCUCCCCUCUGACCUGCAGAGCGAAGACGACAGAAAGUCAGGCAGCAGAGGGGCCGGCCUGUCCAUUAAAGGCCGGCAUGCUUGCAGAAGCCAGAGGGGUGAUUGUUCCCACCUGUCUGCAGAGGUGUUCUUUAAAAGACAGAACCUGGCUUCAAUGUGUUGCUGACUACGUCAGGUGUGACCACUGUGUGUCUUCCUAUCCCCUGAACCUUGACUUGGACUGAUCUCUCGGCAAACUGGACCCGAACCUUCACUGACGUUUCUUCUGGAUUUCUGGCUUGGCACCUGCUGGUUGACAUCUUUAUCAAGCUAUCCACUACGACCCCUGCGUCUCGUUCCUGGUCAGUCACUGCCAGUUCAGACCCUAUGAGUAUAUAUGUGAAAUUAAUAGACUUUGUUCCAAUAUGCAUAACUUUAUACGUGUUUACAUUGAAUUGCAUUUGCCAUUUUACCACCCAUUCAUUCAAUGUGGAGAGGUCCUUUUGGAGCUCUUCACAAUCCCUUUUCAUUUUAACAACCCUGAACAAUUUAGUGUCAUCAGCAAAUUUGGCCAUCUCACAGCUCACGCCAACUCAUGAACAAAUUAGAAAGUAAAGGUCCCAAUACUGAUCCUUGGGGGACUCCAUUUUCUACAUUCCUACACUGGGAGAACUGUCCAUUUAUUCCUGCUCUGUGCUUCCUGCUACUUAACCAAUUGCUGGUGUAUUUUUAAUUUAACUUUUUUUAAUUUAACUAUUUAUGAUCACAAUGAUGUAAUUUGGUAAACUGGUCUAAAACAUAAUGGCCACAAUUCUUUUGGAAGGAACCUUUUGGCAUUCCCAAGAGCUUCUGCAUAUACUUUGUUUUUGUCCUGUACCUGCUCCAGCAAUGCUUCAUUUAAAACUGCCUUUCAAACUCUACUGAGAUUCAAAAGCAGCUUGCCAAGCAGCACAGAGGGGAGUGGGCUUUGUGGGGGGAUAGGGACAGCACCCUCCAUUAUAACUAAUACAUAACUAAGAUAAUGGAGACAGUAAUCAGGACUGGCGUAUUUACAGGUUAAUGGAAAUGGACUGAACAACAUACCAGUUCUGUGCUUGUCACCAAGUGUUUAUUGGAACUGGCAACUUUCACACUUUAUAGUAACAGAACGACAAAAAAAUAAUGUUCACUAUAUACAGCCUUUGCACAGGCUACUUAACUAUACACAAGGCAUAGUGAUCAUGACAAUCUAGUCUUUAUAGUAAUCUGUGCACAAAAGGACACCAUCCAUCAGACAUUAUGUGAACAUUACAGUGAAAUGACAUCACAAGUCCAGUGAAAAUUCAGCAUAAUACAAAACAUAUCAAUCUACUGCAAAUGACAUCCUUUAAAACAAGCAUUUUUUCAGUAGUCAUUUAGCCAGAGUCUGAAGCAGAGAUGUGUUGUGUAGUUAUAAGUCUUUUAAGUGAAGCAACCUCUGCCGACAAAUUUGCUAUGCCCUGCUUCAAAUACAAGUUCUCUGUCUCUGACACUUUGUAGGAAUUGUCUUUAAUGUCAGCCACUCCAGCUUUGCAACCACUCUGAAUUUUUUCAGUGAAUUCUUUUUGAUGAUGCCAAUGUUCUGGUUUCAGAGACCAGUCUUGGAUAUUAGUCACUUGAACAGAAAAAGGAGUGUGAGAAGUAUGUACCAAAUUUUGCGCAUUGUGCUUUUCUAGUUCAAAAUGUCUUUUAGAAGACAUAUCAAUUGGUGAUGAUAAUUUCUGGGUAGCAUCAUAAUCAUUAUCCAAUGAUUCCACUUUGAUUUGCAUGGCCUUGGCCUUAAUUCUAAGCUUAUGAGGCAGUGCAGACGAGCUCACCUCUGGAACUUUAACUGUAGCAUGAUUAUUUUUAAGUUCAACGGGAGAGUGGAUUGGACCUUUAGGUACCUGCUGCUCAUCUUCUCCAUCUGAUGACUUUCCUACAACACCAUCAUCAGCCUCUGAAGUUCUUGGAGAAUUACUGGAGGAUCUGUUAACUUGCAACAGUGGAGGGGAAUGUGAGUAGCCACUAAAGUUGCUUCCCAUGAAGUUUGGGUACAUGGAUGUUGUAUAGGAGCCUCUUUCAUCUCGUGAAUCUCUUGCAUAGUUUUCCAGUUCCAUUGGCUCCUGCUUUAUGAUCUGGAACUUGUUUUCAGGAUUUCUGCAAUUAUUUUGUAUGGGGCUUGCUUGAGUAUGGUCUACUGAUGACACUUCAGAUACAUCAGAUAAAGAACUUUGUGGUGAGUGCUUAAUGACAGAUAUACAACUACUACCUACCAUAGGUGGUUCAUGUUCAUCCAUGAAAGAGUUAAUACCUGAUUUGGCAUUCUGAUACUCCUGAAAAUAAACAGUUGUUGAAUUGCUGAGCUUCUGAACCUCUUGGGCAUAUGCUGAAGAGCUAAUUAAACCAAACUUUAGCUUCAGUGAAAGCAACUCAGCUUUUAAAGUGGCAUUUUCUUCUCCCAGUGCAAUUAGUUUGUUCUCCAAUACAAGGUCAUUCAGUCGCCGCUUUUCACGAGACCUUUUGGCAGCUUCAUUAUUUUUCCGCCGUUUUUCCCAAUACAUAGCAUCUUUCUUUUCAUCAGGAAUGAAUUCCCGCUUUCUCCGGCAUGCUGAAGACUUGUUUUUUACAGUGCCUCCAUCGCUGAGUAACAUUUCAUCACCAGUAGCUAGGUCAUCAGAUACAUCUGUUAAUGUAGAAUUAAGUGCCAUAAUUUUGUCCACAUUUCUACUUGAGUCAGCAGGUGCCUGUUCUGUUUUAAUGGACUGCAUUUUUCUCAGCUGCAUCAGAAGCAAUUUUAGUAGGUGUGCAAAUAGUAACAGGAUAAAUUAAUCUUCCAGGACUUCUUGAACCAUAACAACUGGAUAAAUACAAUAAUUUUAAAUCCAUAAGUAUUCUUCCAUUCAUUCUAUUGUCUCAAGCAUCAUGUUGUCUUGGUAACAUUUGCUUCUGAGUAAGUUCAGCUGCCAAUCUUCCAGAAAACCUGUGGCACACAAAAGAAUAACAAUUCAUUUAUUGAUUUUAUACACCUUUUUUAAAAUAAUUAUCAAAGCAUCUUUUAGUCAUUGACCCCACAACCAAGGAAAGAAAAAUCAAGUUAUAAAUCACGGGGUGAUUUUACCUUAUUAGACAUUUUAAUAAACAGUUAUAGUACUUGCAUACCUUAAAAGAAUUAAAAUAAUGUUAGUGGGAAGUUAUAUAACCUCUUCUUCUACACAAUACUGUCGCAGUUAAACUAAUGAUGUCAUCCUGAGGAUAUUUGUAAUCCUAAACUGACUACAACUACUUUAACAAACCUAUCAUGGCUAAAAAGAAGUGACCAUCCUUAACACCAAGUUUACAUCAGGUCAAAAAGUUAUACUUUCCAUACCAGAUAAGCUUUGGUUCCAAUACUGUAUAAUGAAAACACUUAGCAAUAUUUAUGUGAACUUUUGAACUCCUAUGUGUUCCUGUCAGACAUCUAUUGCAGUUUCCCUUGAGUUUUGUCUUUUAUGCUAAUCAGAUUUUAGUUAAGUCACUUUCCUUAAUGUGAUUCCCCACUGUAGUUCAUAUGCUUAUAAAAUUAGUUCAUUUUUCACUGGAAAACUUUAAAUGGAUUGCUGGUGGCUGAUUCUGCCCCAUAUGAGACUGUAACAUUAUUACACAUCAACGUUCUUAAUAAGUGUGCUGCGGAAGGAGGGAUCAGUUUGCUUGUCUGCUGAUUUGUCAUUUCCAUGAAUACAAUCUGCAUGUCCCCUGCCAAGAGAGUCAGAGGUUUGCUAUCUAGAAGUUUAAUCUGUUAAUUCUACAGACUCUGUGUAACAAAGGGCAUAAUCCUCUCUUGUGUGGGAGCAAUACCUGAGCAUGGAAGGCAUAACAAGACUCUGAUUCCCCCCCCCCAGCCUCAUCACAAGCAUGCACAACCAUGUGCAAUGUGGAAAGAACAGUGGCUAAGUGGUAGGGCAUUUGCUUUGCAUGCAAAAGAUCCCAGGUUCAGUCUUUGGUAGGGUUGGGGAAAACUCCUGUCUGAAACCCUGGAGAGUCACUGCCAGUCAGUGUAGACAAAACUGAGAUAAAUGGAUCAAUGAUCUCACUUGAUGUAAAGCAGCUUCCAAUGUUCCUAGAAGACCUUUGUGUGCAUCCCAUAUCCUUGUCAAGCCAGCCUCUAUUUGGUCAACUCAAGGAAUACCCCCAGUCCAUUCCUGCACCUGGAAAACUGCAGCCUGAUGAGGAGCCAGAAGGUUGAGCCAGCUAGCCCUGCCCUGGAGAGCACUGUAAGAACUUUACUAUCACUGUAGCUCUUUUCAGGGAGAAGCCUAUAAUGUGGGCAGUUGUCUUGUGGUUGGCAGCUGUGUUGGUGAGAGCACAAAUGCAGCUCAUGAACAUACAGUGUAAUUCAAGAUGUGCCUGGAUUUUUGCUAUUUUUAAAUUUUUAUUUAUUGUAUUGUGAUUUGCAUUUCCAUCUACUGUAGUUUUAUUGUAUUUUCUUUUGCAUUAAUCUCACAGCUUUGGAGGCCUUGGCCAAAAAGCGGUAUAGAAAUAAACAGAUGAUGAUGUUGAUGAUGAUAUUACUUGGCAAAGUCCUUUAAAAUGUAAUGCUAUCACAAUUCUGUAAUGGAGUAGUGUUCUGUUUUAAAGUUUUCCAGUGCACAAUGACCUAACAGUGGGUUUGAUCUCAACUUCUCCCUCCACGAACAUAAGGGUUCUUGCCAUUUAUAGAGGGAACCAAAAUCUAGCAGCAGGGUCAGAGAGAUAAUUUCUGCUGAUUCCCCCUGCAAUUCCAGCAGCACCUCCCAGGCUGAUCUAAAUGGUCCCCUAAACCUCUAGAGCAGUUUUAUAGGGGGCUGGAGAGUAACGAGAAAUCAAUAGAAAUCAGUUCUCCGCUCACUUUCUCCAGCAUGAGCAGAACUCUACUGAAUACAAAUCUGGAUCCAACCCAUUACACACAUAUUAAAUACAAAGGAGGGUGGUGAGAGUUGUGUCCUAGGUAUUUUACACUGGUUCUAGGAAUCUAAAAUAUUAAAGUCAGUAUGCUAGAUGGAAUGCUAUUUCCUACUCCUUUUUAUAUAUCCAAAUAUAUGUUCCACUCAUCUAAAUAAAUGCUAAUUUUGUUCUUUGUUUUGUGGUCUGUGUAUAGAAGCUCUA